rnacentral:piRNA from 1 species
UCAGUAUAUUUGUGCUGAAGUUUGCGUCA